CCUGAGCAGAGUGGGAAGUGGGAGGAGCAGCCGAAUGGUGUAAAAGACUUGAAAUUCUCCAACACACAGAUGUAGAUGGAUACAGUUGUCCAAAACCCCUACUCCUUAUUGCCAUUUCGGGUCCAUAGUUGGAUGAUCUCUCAGGACAUGUGGGCAGAGAAACGUGGAGAAAGAUGUAGAAUGAAGGAAAGGAUCUGAGGCAGUCAGCCUCCAAGAUGGCUCUUAAUGAUCCACACCUCUUGAAGCCUGCUGUCAUAUUGUCAGGAACCCAGUGCAGACACUCAUAAUGAGGAACUGAAGCUCCAGCCAACAACAAUAAGAAACUGGCCUGCAGGUACUAGCUCUCUCCCAGGAGAUUAAAUGUUUAGGUGAAGGAGAAAGACCUGGAGAACCCCUGGACAUGGUAACCCAAGCAAGUUCCUGAGGAGAUGCAGUGAGCUCAGACUCAGAGUCAUCUGCUCGGAGCCCCAGGAAGCCCG
rnacentral:lncRNA from 1 species